rnacentral:rRNA from 1 species
GUGCCAGCAGCCGCGGUAAUACAUAGGGGUCAAGCGUUGUCCGGAUUUAUUGGGCGUAAAGAGCUCGUAGGCGGUUCAACAAGUCGGUCGUAAAAGUUUAGGGCUCAACCCUAAAAUGUCGCUCGAUACUGUUGUGACUAGGAUACGGUAGAGGUGAGUGGAAUUCCGAGUGUAGCGGUGAAAUGCGUAGAUAUUCGGAGGAACACCAAUUGCGAAGGCAGCUCACUGGACAUUUACUGACGCUCAGACACGAAGGCUAGGGUAGCGAAAGGGAUUAGAUA